rnacentral:rRNA from 1 species
UACGGGGGGGGCAAGCGUUGUUCGGAAUUACUGGGCGUAAAGGGCUCGUAGGCGGCCAACUAAGUCCGACGUGAAAUCCCCAGGCUUAACCUGGGAACUGCGUCGGAUACUGGAUGGCUUGAAUCCGGGAGAGGGAUGCGGAAUUCCAGGUGUAGCGGUGAAAUGCGUAGAUAUCUGGAGGAACACCGGUGGCGAAGGCGGCAUCCUGGACCGGCAUUGACGCUGAGGAGCGAAAGCGAGGGGAGCAAACGGG